rnacentral:rRNA from 1 species
ACACCUUCUGUGAACUCGAUGAGUAGGGCGGGACACGUGACAUCCUGUCUGAAUAUGGGGGGACCAUCCUCCAAGGCUAAAUACUCCUGACUGACCGAUAGUGAACCAGUACCGUGAGGGAAAGGCGAAAAGAACCCCGGCGAGGGGAGUGAAAUAGAACCUGAAACCGUGUACGUACAAGCAGUGGGAGCACCUUCGUGGUGUGACUGCGUACCUUUUGUAUAAUGGGUCAGCGACUUAUAUUUUGUAGCAAGGUUAACCGAAUAGGGGAGCCGUAGGGAAACCGAGUCUUAACUGGGCGUCUAGUUGCAAGGUAUAGACCCGAAACCCGGUGAUCUAGCCAUGGGCAGGUUGAAGGUUGGGUAACACUAACUGGAGGACCGAACCGACUAAUGUUGAAAAAUUAGCGGAUGACUUGUGGCUGGGGGUGAAAGGCCAAUCAAACCGGGAGAUAGCUGGUUCUCCCCGAAAGCUAUUUAGGUAGCGCCUCGUGAACUCAUCUUCGGGGGUAGAGCACUGUUUCGGCUAGGGGGUCAUCCCGACUUACCAAACCGAUGCAAACUCCGAAUACCGAAGAAUGUUAUCACGGGAGACACACGGCGGGUGCUAACGUCCGUCGUGAAGAGGGAAACAACCCAGACCGCCAGCUAAGGUCCCAAAGUCAUGGUUAAGUGGGAAACGAUGUGGGAAGGCAUAGACAGCCAGGAUGUUGGCUUAGAAGCAGCCAUCAUUUAAAGAAAGCGUAAUAGCUCACUGGUCGAGUCGGCCUGCGCGGAAGAUGUAACGGGGCUAAACCAUGCACCGAAGCUGCGGCAGCGACACUUAGGUGUUGUUGGGUAGGGGAGCGUUCUGUAAGCCGUUGAAGGUGGCCUGUGAGGGCUGCUGGAGGUAUCAGAAGUGCGAAUGCUGACAUAAGUAACGAUAAUGCGGGUGAAAAACCCGCACGCCGGAAGACCAAGGGUUCCUGUCCAACGUUAAUCGGGGCAGGGUGAGUCGACCCCUAAGGCGAGGCUGAAAAGCGUAGUCGAUGGGAAACAGGUUAAUAUUCCUGUACUGGGUGUUACUGCGAAGGGGGGACGGAGAAGGCUAGGCUAGCCGGGCGACGGUUGUCCCGGUUUAAGCAUGUAGGCGGAGUGACUUGGUAAAUCCGGUUACUUAUCAACGCUGAGGUGUGAUGACGAUGCACUACGGUGCAGAAGUAGUUGAUGCCAAGCUUCCAGGAAAAGCCUCU